UACGAAGGGGGCUAGCGUUACUCGGAUUGACUGGGCGUAAAGGGCGCGUAGGCGGUUUGUACAGUCAGACGUGAAAUUCCUGGGCUCAACCUGGGGGCUGCGUUUUGAUACGUGCGGACUUGAGUUCGGAAGAGGGUCGUGGAAUUCCCAGUGUAGAGGUGAAAUGCGUAGAUAUCAGGAGGAACACCUGUGGCGAAAGCGGCUCACUGGACCAUAACUGACGCUGAUGCACGAAAGCUAGGGGAGCAAACAGG
rnacentral:rRNA from 1 species